rnacentral:rRNA from 1 species
ACGGGUGCGGAACACGUACACAACCUUCCUUUUAGUGGGGAAUAGCCCAGAGAAAUUUGGAUUAAUACCCCGUAAUAUAACGGUGUGGCAUCACAUUGUUAUUAUAGGUUUACCGCUAAGAGAUGGGUGUGCGGCUGAUUAGGUAGUUGGCGGAGUAAUAGCCCACCAAGCCGACGAUCAGUAGCUGAUGUGAGAGCAUGAUCAGCCACACGGGCACUGAGACACGGGCCCGACUCCUACGGGAGGCAGCAGUAAGGAAUAUUGGACAAUGGACGCAAGUCUGAUCCAGCCAUGCCGCGUGAAGGAUUAAGGCCCUCUGGGUUGUAAACUUCUUUUAUAGGGGACGAAAAAAGGGCUUUCUAGCUCGUCUGACGGUACCCUAUGAAUAAGCACCGGCUAACUCCGUGCCAGCAGCCGCGGUAAUACGGAGGGUGCAAGCGUUAUCCGGAUUCACUGGGUUUAAAGGGUGCGUAGGCGGGCAGUUAAGUCAGUGGUGAAAUCUUCGAGCUCAACUCGGAAACUGCCAUUGAUACUAUCUGUCUUGAAUACUGUGGAGGUGAGCGGAAUAUGUCAUGUAGCGGUGAAAUGCUUAGAUAUGACAUAGAACACCGAUUGCGAAGGCAGCUCGCUACACAAAUAUUGACGCUGAGGCACGAAAGCGUGGGGAUCAAACAGGAUUAGAUACCCUGGUAGUCCACGCCCUAAACUAUGGAUACUCGACAUUUGCGAUACACAGUAAGUGUCUGAGCGAAAGCAUUAAGUUCCCACCUGGAGACACGCG